rnacentral:rRNA from 1 species
AGGAAAAGAAACCAACAGGGAUUGCCUCAGUAACGGCGAGUGAAGCGGCAAAAGCUCAAAUUUUAAAGCUGGCACCUCCGGUGUCCGCGUUGUAAUUUUGUGAGGCAUCUCCGGGUGGGGCGCCGGCCUAAGUUCCUUGGAACAGGACGUCAUAGAGGGUGAGAAUCCCGUGCUUGGCUGGCUGUCCCCGUCCAUGUGAGGUGUCUUCGACGAGUCGAGUUGUUUGGGAAUGCAGCUCAAAAUGGGUGGUAAAUUUCAUCUAAAGCUAAAUAUUGGUGGGAGACCGAUAGCGCACAAGUAGAGUGAUCGAAAGAUGAAAAGCACUUUGAAAAUAGAGUUAAAAAGUACGUGAAAUUGUUGAAAGGGAAGCGCUUGAGACCAGACUUCGGUGGGGAGUGAUCAGCCGUCCUUCUGGGCGGUGCACUUGCCCCCCUCCGGGCCAGCAUCGGUUGGGACGGCGGGAUAAAGGUCCCGGGAAUGUGGCUCCUCUCGGGGAGUGUUAUAGCCCGGGUGAAUGCCGCCAGCCCCGACCGAGGACCGCGCCUUCGGGCUAGGAUGCUUGGCAUAAUGGUCUUCAGCGACCCGUCUU